rnacentral:rRNA from 1 species
GAUGAACGCUGGCGGCGUGCCUAAUACAUGCAAGUCGAGCGAACAGACGAGGAGCUUGCUCCUCUGACGUUAGCGGCGGACGGGUGAGUAACACGUGGAUAACCUACCUAUAAGACUGGGAUAACUUCGGGAAACCGGAGCUAAUACCGGAUAAUCUAUUGAACCGCAUGGUUCAAUAGUGAAAGACGGUUUUGCUGUCACUUAUCGAUGGAUCCGCGCCGCAUUAGCUAGUUGGUAAGGUAACGGCUUACCAAGGCAACGAUGCGUAGCCGACCUGAGAGGGUGAUCGGCCACACUGGAACUGAGACACGGUCCAGACUCCUACGGGAGGCAGCAGUAGGGAAUCGGCCGCAAUGGGCGAAAGCUUGACGGAGCAACGCCGCGUGAGUGAUGAAGGUCUUCGGAUCGUAAAACUCUGUUAUUAGGGAAGAACAAAUGUGGAAGUAACUAUGCACGGCUUGACGGUAACUAAUCAGAAAGCCACGGCUAACUACGUG